rnacentral:pre_miRNA from 14 species
UACAAGGGGUUAGUCAUUACCCACACACCUGAAAGACCCCUGGAGCAGGGAGACCCUCACUCAAGUCUCGGGAUGACACGACCCCCAAAGAACUCACACAAGACU